AUUGAACGCUGGCGGCAGGCCUAACACAUGCAAGUCGAGCGGAGCGGCGGACGGGUGAGUAAUGCCUAGGAAUCUGCCUGGUAGUGGGGGAUAACGUCUGGAAACGGGCGCUAAUACCGCAUACUAUCAGAUGAGCCUAGGUCGGAUUAGCUAGUUGGUGGGGUAAAGGCCUACCAAGGCGACGAUCCGUAACUGGUCUGAGAGGAUGAUCAGUCACACUGAAACUGAGACACGGACGAGACUCCUACGAGAGGCAGCAGUGGGGAAAAUUGGACAAUGGGCGAAAGCCUGAUCCAGCCAUGCCGCGGGUGUGAAGAAGGUCUUCGGAUUGUAAAGCACUUUAAGUUGGGAAGCGUUAACAACAGAAUAGGCACCGGCUAACUUCGUGCCAGCAGCCGCGGUAAUUC
rnacentral:rRNA from 1 species